rnacentral:rRNA from 1 species
UCUGAUUAGCUAGUUGGUGGGGUAAAAGCCUACCAAGGCGACGAUCAGUAGCUGGUCUGAGAGGACGAUCAGCCACACUGGGACUGAGACACGGCCCAGACUCCUACGGGAGGCAGCAGUGGGGAAUUUUCCGCAAUGGGCGAAAGCCUGACGGAGCAAUACCGCGUGAGGGAGGAAGGCUCUUGGGUUGUAAACCUCUUUUCUCAGGGAAGAAAAAAAUGACGGUACCUGAGGAAUAAGCAUCGGCUAACUCCGUGCCAGCAGCCGCGGUAAUACGGAGGAUGCAAGCGUUAUCCGGAAUGAUUGGGCGUAAAGCGUCCGCAGGUGGCAUUGCAAGUCUGCUGUCAAAGCUCAGGGCUUAACCCUGAAAAGGCAGUGGAAACUGAAAUGCUCGAGUGCGGUAGGGGUAGAGGGAAUUCCCGGUGUAGCGGUGAAAUGCGUAGAGAUCGGGAAGAACACCAGUGGCGAAGGCGCUCUACUAGACCGCAACUGACACUAAUGGACGAAAGCUAGGGGAGCGAAUGGGAUUAGAUACCCCAGUAGUCCUAGCUGU